rnacentral:lncRNA from 1 species
GGGUUUCAUGAGAUGUAUCACAAGCUUUAUCUGGCAAGGGAUGCACAGAUUUGAACAAGGGAUCCGUUUGAUGUGGAUUUGUUAGUAGAUGCGAUUAGUAAGACAAAGGUGUUUCUAAGGGCCGGACAGAUGGCAGAGUUUGAUGGUUGUCGGACUAAGGUCCUAAGUUAUACGACCUAGAUGGCUUGGAUAAGCUGAGCCUGUGAGGGUAUGAUGCAUAAGCUGAGCCUAUGAGGCUAUGAUGCAUAAGCUGAGCCUGUCGACUCUAUGAUGCAUAAGCUGAGCCUGUCGACUCUAUGAUGCAUAAGCUGAGCUUGUGUUCUUAAUAUGUCUGAACUGAAACUGUUAAGGCUAUGAUGCAUAAGCUGAGCCUGUGAGGUUACAUAUGUGUUUCUUGUGCUUAAAACACUUGUACAUCAUGCUUUAAAGGUUGUUUAAGUUUAGUGGAAAAUUACUCUU